rnacentral:lncRNA from 1 species
CCAGCAGCUGGCAGGUCUCCUCGUGGACCUGCCCCACUCCCACGGCCUCUGCCAUCACCUUCAUGGACUCGGCAGGCAGCAGCGUGUGGCUCAGCUUCAGCUUCUUCUCCUCCGCCAUCCUCCCUCCCUUCUCCUCUCUCCUCCCUCCCUCCCCUUCCUGCUCUAUUCUUUUUCUUUUUCUCUUCCUCUUCUUUUCCUCUCUUCCUCUUCACUUCCUGCGUUUCCUUUUCCCUUCUAUUUUCUUUUUAUUCUCCUUUCUUUCUCUUCCACUUUUUCCUCUUCCUUCUUUUUCAGUUCCUGUUUCUUUCUCAAUCUUUUUCUUCUUCAAUCCUUUCUUUUCUUUUCUUUCUCUUUUUCCUUUUCUUUUCUAUAUCGUCUCCUUUCUUCUUCUUUUUCCACUUUCUUUUUUCUCCUACCUUUCCUUCUUUCCUUCCUUCCUUCCUUCUCCUCACUCUUCCUUUUAUCUCUUUCUUCUCUUCUUCGUUGCCACUCUCUUCCCUUUAUCCUUUCCCUUUUCCUCUUCCUUUUUUCCUUUUUCUUUUCCUUCUUUCCUUCCUCUUCCUUCUCCCUUCCUCUUCCUCCCCCCGCAGACGCAGGGCAGCCCCUAGAAAAGCACAAAACCUUAUGGGGGCAACAGAAGGAGACCCCAAUGUUGGGGUCUGU